rnacentral:rRNA from 1 species
CAAGUCUGGUGCCAGCAGCCGCGGUAAUUCCAGCUCUCAAAAUGCAUAGAACCAUUGCUGCGGUUAAAAAGCUCGUAGUUGAAUCUAUGCCUGAGGCUUGGUCCACUCUUUGAGUGCGUACUAGGUUCUUUGGCUUUUCGUCGGUUUUCUUGUCGUGGCCUUUAUUGGUGGCGGCAAGUGGCUGACAAUUUUACUUUGAACAAAUCAGAGUGCUUAAAACAGGCGUCUCGCUUGUAUGCUUUUGCAUAGAAUAAUGGAACACGACUUCGGUCUAGUUUUAUUGGUUUUAUAGAUCGUUGUAAUGAUUAAAAGAGACAAACGGGGGCAUUCGUAUUGUUGCGUGAGAGGUGAAAUUCUUGGACCGCAGCAAGACGACCUACAGCGAAAGCAUUUGCCAAGCUUGUCUUCAUUAAUCAAGAACGAAAGUCAGAGGAUCGAAGGUGAUCAGAUACCGCCCUAGUUCUGACCGUAAACGAUGCCAACUAGCGAUUCGCCGGCGGAUUAUUUGCCCUGGCGAGGAGCUUCCCGGAAACGAAAGUCUUCCGGUUCCGGGGGAAGUAUGGUUGCAAAGCUGAAACUUAAAGGAAUUGACGGAAGGGCACCACCAGGAGUGGAGCCUGCGGCUUAAUUUGACUCAACACGGGAAAACUCACCCGGCCCG